UAUUAAGUUUUUGCACGAUCGAGUAAUGGAAGAGAUUCCCGAUUUUAACGUUGGUCCUAAAUCGUUAACCAACUGGACAAGGAAAAUUGGUUUCAAAUUUAAGAAAAAUAGUAAUAGAUUAUUUUUGAUGGAAUGGCCUUCAGGUAUACCACCAAAGCAAAGGAAAAAAUGUAUAUGAACCUCUUUUUCUCGAUGAAACGUGGGUAUUUAGUAAAGGUGGCAUACGCAAAAAGACAUGGCAAGACGAUUCAGUAAACACUACUAUUGCAAAAACUGGAGAAAGGAACCCCUUUAAUUUUUAAAGCUAAUAGCAAAUAUGGAGACCAUCAUGAUAACAUGAACAAGGAAAAUUUUGAAAAAUGGUCCAAAGGACAGUUGAUACCAAGUUUUCGGGAACCUUCGCUUAUUGUGAUAGGAAGAAAUUCCUCGAAAAAGUUGCACAAAGACAAAAAUGAUAGCAUAUUAAAAUAAAAAUGGGAUUGAUUAUCCAC